rnacentral:rRNA from 1 species
CACGUAGGGGGCAAGCGUUGUCCGGAUUUAUUGGGCGUAAAGAGCGUGUAGGCGGCCAGACAAGUCUGCUGUGAAAACUCGAGGCUCAACCUCGAGCUGUCGGCGGAAACUGUCUGGCUAGAGUCCGGAAGAGGAGAGUGGAAUUCCUGGUGUAGCGGUGAAAUGCGCAGAUAUCAGGAAGAACACCUAUGGCGAAGGCAGCUCUCUGGGACGGUACUGACGCUGAGACGCGAAAGCGUGGGGAGCGAACAGG